rnacentral:miRNA from 1 species
CUUGGCACACCUGAGAAACGCC